rnacentral:lncRNA from 1 species
GUGUGUUUCGAGUUAUCAGGAGUAAAACAGCUGGUGAGAACACGAGUUAAACUAGUGAGAACUGAUUGACAUUCCCAUGUGUAGCUAGCUUCUAGCUCAUCAUGAUGAUCCACAUAUCCAAUACAAUAUUCCUAGUACAAUUUUUUUUUGAGCAUGUGGUACAAAUUCUUCAAACGACCUCUCUAGAGGUUCCUUCGAUAUCAACUAGAAACAGGGGCACGGCUUUGCCGUGCCUCCGUUGUGACUGGGCC